UCGUUGCCAUUGCGGCUGCCUUUCUCAAGAAUGCCUGGCCUAAGGAGCGGGUGCUGGUCCUGUUCCUCACCAUCGGGGGCCUAGCUAUAAAUCUGACCCCAGUCUGCCCCUAUACCAUGUACUCCACCAGGAUCAACUAGGCCACGCCCCACAACAACCCAGUGCCCCUCCGAGAUGAUGGGAACAUGCUGGACAUGCCCAGCCACCCCCAAGGCCCAAGCAUGGAGUGGUUGAAGAAACUGCAAGCACU
rnacentral:lncRNA from 1 species